rnacentral:lncRNA from 1 species
CCCACGCACAAAGAAGAAUUGUACAGGAAACCCGCGCAUGCGCAGUACGAUCGUUCGAUCGCCAGCGUAGUGCGUGACGUCAUGUUUCAUUCACAAAUCUUGAGCUGUGAUCUCAUUGGGUGUUUUGGCUCUCAUUUGCAUAUUUUCCCAUAAUACAAAACCUAUGUAGUGCGAGAAGAUUCUCUGCGAACCACCGAUCAACCUCAUACUAAACACGACAUAUUUCCUUCAAGAUUUCGAGUUGAAAAUCUCAUUUUCUUCGUACGGUGUAGCUACAUUACCUCGGAAAAUCUGAUGAUAUUUUGCGGACUUCUCGUCAUUUGCAUAAAUCCGAAGAUGACUGACUGACACUGGUUGAAACACUGUUGUUCACAAGACCCAAAGGACAAAGGUUGAGAGCUACAAGUUCAUAUCACAUUCUACUCAAGAAGGUGAAGGAUUUGGGGAUCACUAAAACAAGACCGUCGGAUAUAGAAACAAUUUUAUUUUAUGAGAUAAUCUUUCAACUUUAUUUUUACUUACUAUUGUAGAAGAGAA